rnacentral:lncRNA from 1 species
AUUCUCCCCCGGGGGAAGCCCAUACCUGCUUGGUAUUUGUAAUGUCCCUCGAAUAAGGGGGAACCGUCACCAGGUGCCUCCACCCGGCACGAUGGCGGUUAGGCGCAGGGCUGUCAGCACCCUCUUCCGCCACCAGAGGGCAGCGUUGCCCCACCAAGCGCACCCCACCUUCAAGCCCGGCGCCCUGUGCUGAUUGGCUAAGCCCUGCCGUCUCCCUGGCAACCGUCUCCAGCCCUCCCUCUGCCGGUGCCCGCGCACAGCAUGCUGCUGAUGUGAUGGGCAGGUGUGGUCCCUCCAGUCUGUCCCCACGCCCGGGGCCGAGGAGCUGCCCGAAUAGACCGUGCCGGAUGGUGGAAGCUGCGAGGGCCUCCAAACCAGCAUCUCUGAUUUCAACUUGGCUCGGGGGUCCUCCUUUUCCUCAAAUGCUUGUCUUCCCACAUCCUGCUGUGGUGACAGAGUGGAAAAAAGAGAGAGCUUUCAGAGCCAGGCGUGAAGGCCGCGGAACCCUGUGAGCAGCAUCCUCCUUGUGGAGCCCCUGUGUCCCGCUCCCUCCUGGGCUGAUCAUCUCACACCUGAGCCUGCAGAAAGCCUCAGGAGGGCACCGUCCCAAUUCAGAGCGAGAUACAGAGGAGGAGGAUGGUCAGGGGCAUGCCUGCAGCCUGCACAGGGCAUCCAGCACCUGCAUCCGGGGGCCAGGGCCAUUAGUCCCAGCUAAGCAAGGUGUGGGCAGGUGAGGAGCGUGAGGAGGCAGGCCGGGAGACAGGCACCAGCCCAGACAGCAUGGCCAGGCGGCCUCACUGAGGAGCCAACUACACGAAGAUCCAGGGAAGGACAUCCCACAGGGGAACAGCAGGUCUUCCUGAAGUCUCUCUUGCUGCCGUUGGGGCCCCAGGGCCACUCGGGCACCACCUGCACUGAUGGCCAUCCCCGGGGACCAGCCUGGAAAGCCGCCGUGUUCGUAGAAACCCUUAGACACGCGUCUCCUAAAAUGUUCUACAAAGAAUCAAAAGAUGAAACCCAUGUCAGGGCAUCUCCGGCAGCCAGGGAAGACUGUCACCACGGAGACGAGCAGGCUACACACCACACCCGAACAGACACUGUGCACAGCUCUGCCGGCUCCUGCCACUCCUCUGAAGGGCCCCUUCAUCUUUCCAAAGGUCGCUUGUUUUCCUAUAAGUGCCCUUCUCCCUUCCCCUGUCAACUCCCCCUAAGAUGGCAGAUAAGCCCCAAAUUCUAACCACUGCUUUGAGUCACAUUUCUCUGUGAACUCCCAAGUACAUACAUACGUGAAUAAAAAUCUGUCUUUUCUCUCGCUAAGCUGUCUUUUGUCAGUUUAAUUUG